GGGGGCGACCUGGUUUCGACGUGGGUUCUGAAGCAAUGCAGGGCAUGCCGAGGCGUGGUUACCUCGUAAAUACAGCCGCAAAACACUAUAGUCGCCAACGACGAUAGCUUCGCUCUAGCCGCCUAAUACCGGCUGGACUCUGCACCGGGGUUCUCAUGACCCGGAGUAGCAGCUCACCGCUACCGCAGAGUCAUAUUCAUGAGAUCGCACGUUCACGGGGCCGCUUCGUGAGCUGCUAAAACCAAGGCGGCUCGCCUUCAUCCAGUUCGCCGGUCUACGGGGUGCGGGUUAAUACAAAUGGCCUGGCUACGCAUGUAGAACUGCUUGUGAACGGCUUGCGGACGCGGGUUCGAUUCCCGCCGCCUCCACCA
rnacentral:tmRNA from 1 species